UACGUAGGGGGCAAGCGUUGUCCGGAAUCAUUGGGCGUAAAGAGCGUGUAGGCGGCCCGAUAAGUCCGCCGUGAAAGUCCAGGGCUCAACCCUGGAAUGCCGGUGGAAACUGUCGGGCUGGAGUCCGGAAGAGGCGAGUGGAAUUCCUGGUGUAGCGGUGAAAUGCGCAGAUAUCAGGAGGAACACCAAUGGCGAAGGCGGGUCUCUGGGCCGAAACUGACGCUGAGGAGCGAAAGCGUGGGGAGCAAACAGG
rnacentral:rRNA from 1 species